AAGAGCGAUGAAGCAGAAGGUUGCUAAGUUACCCAAUGACUUAGGUUUUUCUGCAGAGCGAUGUCCAGUUCAAGAAACCGGGCGACAA
rnacentral:ncRNA from 1 species